GCAAACUUGGUCAUUUAGAGGAAGUAAAAGUCGUAACAAGGUAACCGUAGGUGAACCUGCGGUUGGAUCAUUACUGAAGUUAGGGUGUGAACGGUCGUUCAACCUACUCCCUGUGUGAACUGUUAUUACUCUUUUGGCGGUCCACAAACAUGUCGGCGCGUCUUCAUAUGGUUACUCACUUGACCGAGAGUUUUGUGAAUGCCUAUGUAAAGGACGCGACUUCGGGCCGCCUAACUGCGUUAAAUUCCUUGUUUAAUAUAUUUUUUUGUCUUAUGAUGAUUCGCACAAGCGAACGCUUAAUAAUACAAAUACAACUUUUGACAAUGGAUCUCUUGGCUCUUGCAUCGAUGAAGAACGCAGC
rnacentral:misc_RNA from 1 species